rnacentral:sRNA from 1 species
UCCUCCUCCAAGAUCAUCUUCUCAUAGGUCCACUAGUCCUCCUGCAAGAUCAACAUUAAAACUAGGGGUAUUAAAAUUGGUCAAAAUUCAUGGAUCAAUUCAACUCAACUCAACCUAUGAAUCUUAAUAAGUUGAAAAUUUUGACUCAAAUGAGUUGAUGGGUCAAACGAGUUAUUGGGUCAAUUGGUUUGAUGAGUAAAAUGAGUUGGAUUGUAAUGGUUAAUGAUUUCAAUGGUUUACCCAAUUAAACCAUCAAGUUUUGUAAAAUUGAAUCAAACCAACCAAAAUCUCUAAACAAAUACCAAUUUAAGUUUAACCAACACAUCUAAACCAAUUUAACA